GCAUAUCAAUAAGCGGAGGAAAAGAAACCAACUGGGAUUGCCUCAGUAACGGCGAGUGAAGCGGCAGAAGCUCAAAUUUGAAAUCUGGCCCCUCUGGGGGUCCGAGUUGUAAUUUGCAGAGGACACUUCGGGUGCGGCCGCGGUCUAAGUCCCCUGGAACGGGGCGUCGGAGAGGGUGAGAAUCCCGUCUGGGACCGUGGACCUGCCCCGUGUGAAGUUCCUUCGACGAGUCGAGUUGUUUGGGAAUGCAGCUCUAAGUGGGUGGUAAAUUUCAUCUAAAGCUAAAUACUGGCGGGAGACCGAUAGCGCACAAGUAGAGUGAUCGAAAGGUUAAAAGCACCUUGAAAAGGGAGUUAAACAGCACGUGAAAUUGUUGAAAGGGAAGCGCUGGCAGCCAGACAGGAACCCGGGGGCUCAGCGGGCAUGCGUGCCCGUGCACUCCCCCGCGGUUCCGGCCAGCAUCAGUUUCGGCGGCCGGUCAAAGGCCCCGGGAAGGUAUCGUCCUCCGGGACGACUUACAGCCCGGGGUGCAAUGCGGCCAGUCGGGACUGAGGAACGCGCUCCGGCACGGAUGCUGGCGUAAUGGCUGUCAGCGGCCCGUCUUGA
rnacentral:rRNA from 1 species